rnacentral:tRNA from 1 species
GCCCUUGUAGCUCAGCUGGAUAGAGCGCUUCCCUCCUAAGGAAGAAGUCGUAGGUUCAAAUCCUACCAAGGGCG